rnacentral:rRNA from 1 species
GAAACAGUGGCUAAGACUGGAUAGGAAAUUAAGAGGCAUCUUUUAAUUUUUAAAAGACCUUUUUCGGAAGGUAUGCUUAAAGAGGGGCUUGCGCCACAUUAGUUAGUUGGUAAGGUAAAGGCUUACCAAGACGAUGAUGUGUAGCUGGACUGAGAGGUUGAACAGCCACAUUGGGACUGAGACACGGCCCAAACUCCUACGGGAGGCAGCAGUAAGGAAUUUUUGGCAAUGGAGGAAACUCUGACCGAGCGACGCCGCGUGAACAAUGAAGUACUUCGGUAUGUAAAGUUCUUUUAUUGAAAAAGAAAAAAUAGUGGAAAAACUAUCUUGACAUUAUUCAAUGAAUAAGCCCCGGCUAAUUAUGUGCCAGCAGCCGCGGUAACACAUAAGGGGCGAGCGUUAUCCGGAAUUAUUGGGCGUAAAGGGUGCGUAGGCGGUUUGAUAAGUCUAUAGUUUAAAUGCAGCGCUUAACGCUGUAGCGCUAUAGAAACUGUCUGACUAGAGUUAGAUAGAGGCAAGCGGAAUUCCAUGUGUAGCGGUAAAAUGCGUAAAUAUAUGGAGGAACACCAGAGGCGUAGGCGGCUUGCUGGGUCUUAACUGACGCUGAGGCACGAAAGCGUGGGGAGCAAACAGGAUUAGAUACCCUGGUAGUCCACGCCGUAAACGAUGAGUACUAAGUGUCGGGUUUCGGCUCGGUACUGAAGUUAACACAUUAAGUACUCCGCCUGAGUAGUACGUACGCAAGUAUGAAACUUAAAGGAAUUGACGGGACCCCGCACAAGCGGUGGAUCAUGUUGUUUAAUUCGAAGAUACACGAAAAACCUUACCAGGUCUUGACAUAAUUUUGCGACAUUAUAGAAAUAUAAUGAAGGUUAUCAGAAUUACAGGUGGUGCAUGGUUGUCGUCAGCUCGUGUCGUGAGAUGUUAGGUUAAGUCCUAAAACGAGCGCAACCCUUGUCGUUAGUUGCGACCACGUAAUGGUGAGCACUUUAGCGAGACUGCCAAUGAAAAAUUGGAGGAAGGUGAGGAUUACGUCAAAUCAUCAUGCCCCUUAUGAUCUGGGCUACAAACGUGAUACAAUGGCUGUUACAAAGAGUAGCUACAACGUGAGUUUUUAGCCAAUCUCAAGAAAACAGUCUCAGUUCGGAUUGAAGUCUGCAACUCGACUUCAUGAAGUUGGAAUCGCUAGUAAUCGCGAAUCAGCAUGUCGCGGUGAAUACGUUGACGGGGUUUGUACACACCGCCCGUCA